AGAAGUGACAUAUGCAGCAUGACCCGUGGAAGCUUCGAAGAGCUAUUGCCAAUUUCCACCCUCUCUCUGGAAACUGUCAUUAGGGUUAGGGAAACUGUCAUGAGAUCUGCAUAUUUUAGAUAGAGGCUGCUUGCCUUAUUUGGGCACCUAAUGAAAAAGACAUGGAGGCCAGGUGCGGUGGCUCAUGUCUGUAAUCCCAGCACUUUGGGAGGCCAAGGCGAGUGGAUCACCUGAGGUCAGGAGUUCGAGACCAGCCUGACCAACAUGGCAAAACCCCGUCUGUACUAAAAGUGCAAACACAAAGGGAACUGCGUGGCUUGUUUCUACCUGAACAUUGUCAAGUGAUUUCAUCCUUUGAAACACAGUUGUGAAGUGUGUCCAGCAGUCUGAGAACAAGAAGAAGAAGAAAAUCUAAUCCUUCAGGGUGUCUGUGUGCCAGCCCUGCUCUCAGCACUUCCCAUGUGGAACUCCUUUACUUCUCCUAACAACUCCAUGACAUGGGUUAGACUGUGAUUGUUCCCAUAUUGUUGGUAGGGAAACUGAGGCAUGCAGGUGUUACAGAGCUCUCUCAAGUGGCAAGCUUUCUGGGUGGUUACAGAGUGGCAGAGCUGGGGUAUCCCAUGAUGUCACCACACUGCUAUAUGGAAAAGAACAUUAAUCGAGCACCUACGUGCUUGAUUCUCUUAAUUCUGUGACUGAACUCUCAAAACACCCUGGGUAAGCACUAUCAUCUCCUAUUUUCACAAGUGAAAAAACUGGGAUUCAAAAAAAUUAAGUGACUUACCAAAUAUUACAGAGCUAGUAAGCCAAGACUUGAACACUGAGAUGGAAUUCUACCUUUUAAGGUGGCUAAGCAACAGAAGGAUGUUCCUUUCCCAAGGGGAGCACUGCGUGUUUUGAAAUAUACAAAUAGUGGGAAACGAAAUCUUUGUUCUGGAUGCAGUUAUAAUUUGGAAAGCGAGGAAAUAAAUUAUAACAAGGGGAAAAAACAGGGUUGCCGUGAGGAGUAAAUGAGCUGUUGCAUGGGAAGCACUUAGCAUGGGGCCUGAUAAAUAGUAAGCCCUUGGUAAUAAUUACAUCUUCCGUGAUGCUAGACACAGAGGGAUUGAAAUGCAUAACAAUAGAGAUGAAACACGAAGAGUGAUAAAUGAAGAUUGAGUGUGCACACCUUCUGGAGGAGCCCUGAUUGAGUAUUUUAACACAGAAGUGGGUGAGAGCAAAGUUGUAUCAGAGUAAGACAAUGAUACCAAGCCAGAUGGUUAUCAAAAUCCACAGGAACAAAUGAAGAGAACCAGAAAUUGCAAAUAAGAAGGACAGAGUACCAGAGAGGAGAGAGAGGUACAGAGAAUUAUGGAGGUGGCUUCCGUUGAGUAUGCAGCUAAGUAAUGAUUAAUGCAUACAUAUAAGAAACUACUGGAUGACAGAGAAAGAACCACAAGCAAUUUAAAGAAUACUACUAAAGUCAUGCCGUGUGACUUCUGAAGCUAGCUCCUAAGAAGUCCUUGCAGCUUCUGCCUGCGACUCUUAGAACACUUGCUUUGAAGGAUGCCAGAUGCUGUCUUAAAAGUCUGAGCACUCUGAAACCAUCAUGCUGUGAGGAAGCCCAAGCUAACCACAUGGGCAAAAAAGAUGCCCUCUGACUGCCACCAUUUGAGACACUCUAAUUAAGAACUGCCUCAUUGAGCCCAUGAGGCCCUGUGAAUGAUAAUAAUAAAUUGUUUUUAACCAC
rnacentral:sRNA from 1 species